GCUCCCGUAGUGAAAUGGAUAUCACACCGGUCUUCGGAACCGUUAUUGGGGGUUCGAAUCCCUCCGGGAGCACCU
rnacentral:tRNA from 1 species